UAAGGUGACUAUAGCGGCGGGGUUCCACCUCUUCCCAUUCCGAACAGAGAAGUUAAGCCUGCCAGCGCCGAUGGUACUGCGAAAGUGGGAGAGUAGGUCGUUGCCCAAC
rnacentral:rRNA from 2 species